GUACGGGAGGCAGCAGUGGGGAAUCUUCCGCAAUGGGCGAAAGCCUGACGGAGCAACGCCGCGUGAGUGAAGAAGGCCUUCGGGUUGUAAAGCUCUGUCUUCAGGGACGAACACAAUGACGGUACCUGAGGAGGAAGCCACGGCUAACUACGUGCCAGCAGCCGCGGUAAUACGUAGGUGGCAAGCGUUGUCCGGAAUUACUGGGCGUAAAGGGCGCGUAGGCGGGUAUUUAAGUCAGAUGUGAAACCUCCCGGCUUAACCGGGAGCUUGCAUCUGAUACUGGAUAUCUUGAGUGCAGGAGAGGACAGUGGAAUUCCUAGUGUAGCGGUGAAAUGCGUAGAUAUUAGGAGGAACACCAGUGGCGAAGGCGGCUGUCUGGACUGUAACUGACGCUGAGGCGCGAAAGCGUGGGGAGCAAACAGGAUUAGAUACCCCGGU
rnacentral:rRNA from 1 species